GGAGGGGUGCAAGCGUUGCUCGGAAUUACUGGGCGUAAAGGGCGCGUAGGCGGGCUUGGCAAGUCGGGAUGUGAAAGCCCGGGGGCUCAACCCCGGAAAUGCAUCCGAUACUGCCUGGCUUGAGUACGGGAGAAGGAUGCGGAAUUCCCAGUGUAGAGGUGAAAUCCGUUGAUAUUGGGAGGAACACCGGUGGCGAAAGCGGCAUCCCGGCCCAUUACUGACGCUGAGGCGCGAAAGCGUGGGGAGCAAACAGGAUUAGAUACCCUGGUAGUCCACGCUGUAAACGAUGAGUACUAGGUGUUGUGGGUGUUGACCCCCGCAGUGCCGUAGCUAACGCAUUAAGUACUCCGCCUGGGGACUACGGUCGCAAGACUA
rnacentral:rRNA from 1 species